rnacentral:rRNA from 1 species
CAGUUCGGAUUGUAGUCUGCAACUCGACUACAUGAAGCUGGAAUCGCUAGUAAUCGCGAAUCAGCAUGUCGCGGUGAAUACGUUCCCGGGUCUUGUACACACCGCCCGUCACACCAUGGGAGUCGGAAAUGCCCGAAGUCUGUGACCCAACCUUAGGGAGGGAGCAGCCGAAGGCAGGUCGGAUGACUGGGGUGAAGUCGUAACAAGGUACC